CCCUGGCUUCUGGUGGUUUGCUGGUAAUCUUUGUCAUUCUUUGGCUUGUAGGUGCAUCACCUGGAUCUCUGCCUUCAUGUUCACAUGGUGUUCUACCUGUGUGCGUAUCUGUGGCCAAAUUUCCCCUUUUUAUAAGGAUACCAGGCAUAUUGGAUUAGGGUUCCUCUCUACUCCAGUAGGACCUCAUCUUCACUGAUUACAUCUGCAAUAACCCUUUCCAAAUAAGGUCACAUUCUGAGGAACUAGAGAGGAUGUAAGUCAGUUUGAUUCCAAGUUUACACGUCAGACACCUGUCGACAGCCCAGAUGACUCAACUCUCAGUGAAAGUGCCCAUCAGGUCUUUCUGGGUUUUACUUAUGUGGCUCCAUCUGUACUUGAAGUGUGAAAGAAAAGUUUUCCUUUGAACCAAAAAUCCGAUCACCUCGAAGAUUUAUUGGCAGCCCACGAACACCUGUCAGCCCAAAUUUUCUCCUGGGGAUUUCUGGGGAAGAGGUGCUUCGGCCAGCACAGCAAAUCCUCAGACACCUGUGGAAUACCCAAUGGAAACAAGUGGCACAGAGCAGAUGGAUGUGACAACGAGUGGGGAAGCGUUGGCACCACUUCCAAUACGACAGCCGAACUCUGGGCCAUACAAAAAACAAGCUUUUCCCAUGAUCUCCAAACGGCCAGAGCACCUGCGUAUGAAUCUAUGCCACAGCAAUGCUUUUAAUGAAUUUAAGGCAAAAAAGGUGGAGAGGCCGAUGUGUGAGCAUCCUACAAGGUGAAACAAGACUCAAAAUGACAGUUUCAGAGAGUCAGUGUCAUUACAUAGAACACUUUGGACAGAGGAAAAAUAAACAUGGAUUUUAAAAAAAUCAAUCAAUCAUGCAAAAAAAACUUAAAGCAAAAUAGUACUGCUGAACACUCAGGCACAUCAAUUAAUUGGUUCCUCGCGACAUCUUCUCAACCUUAUCAAGGAUUUUCAUGUUGAUGACUCGAAACUGACAGUAUUAAGGGUAGGAUGUUGCUUCUGAAUCACUGUUGAGUUCUGACUGUGUCGAAGAAGGGUUAUCCUUUCAUUAGGCAAAGUACAAAAUUGCCUAUAAUACUUGCAACUAAGGACAAAUUAGCAUGCAAGCUUGGUCAAACUUUUUCCAGCAAUAUGGAAUCAAAGACAAAAGAAACUUACCAAUUGAUGUUUUACAUGCAUAUAACCUGAAUCUUUUUUUUAUAUAAAUAUAUAUUUUUCAAGUAGAUUUUUGAUUCAGCUCAUUAUGAAAAACAUCCCAAACUUUAAAAUGCGAAAUUAUUAGUUGGUGUGAAGAAAGCCAAACAACUUCCGUUUCUUCUCUUGGUGAAAUAAUAAAAUGGAAAUGAAUCAUUGUUAACCACAUGUGUGGCUCGUUUGAGGGAUUGGGGUGGACCUGGGGUUUAUUUUCAGUAACCCAGCUGCAAUACUCGUCUGUAAUAUGAGAAAAAAAAAAGAAUCUAUUUAAUCAUUUCUACUUGCAGUACUGCUAUGUGCUAAGCUUAACUGGAAGCCUUGGAAUGAGCAUAAGUUGUAUGUCCUACAUUUCAUCAUUGUCCCGGGCCUACAUUGCGCUGGAAAAAAAAUCGCCACCUGUUCUUACACCAGUGUUUGGUUCAAGACGCCAAAUGUGUUCAGCCCAUGGCUGAAGAACAACAGAAGAGAGUCGGGAUAAAAAAUACAUACUGCGGUCGGCAAGGUGAGAGAGAUAGGGAUAUCCAGGGGAAGAGGGUGUUGCUGUGGCCCACUCUCUGUCUAAUCUCUUCACAGCAAAUUGGUAAGAUUUUCAGUUUUAUUUCUUUCUACUGUUUCUACUGUCUACCUUCCUUAUAUUUUUUUCCUCAACAGUUUUAAAAAGAAAAAAAGGUCUAUUUUUUUUUUCUCCUAUACUGGGGCUACAUUUUUUGAUUGUAAAAAUAUUUGAUGGCCUUUUGAUGAAUGUCUUCCACAGUAAAUAAGAAAACUUAGUGGCUUCAUUUAGGAAACAUGUUAACAGGACACUAUGUUUUUGAAAUUGUAACAAAAUCUACAUAAAUGAUUUACAGGUACAAAGAAUAAAAGUAAAGGUAACUUUACCUUCCUUAAAUAUUUCCUGCCUUAAAGAGAGCAUUUCCAUGACUUUAGCUAGUGAAAGGGUUUAAUAUCUGCAGAGCUUUGUAAAAAUAUAUUUCAGUGCAUACUGGUAUAACAGAUGAUCAUGCAGUUGCAGUUGAGUUUUACCACCUCUUUUUGUUUGUCUUUUAUAAUGUCUUCAGUCUGAGUGUGCAAAGUCAAUCUGUAAUAUUUUGCAACCCUAGGAUUUUUUCAAAUAGAUCCUUUUUGAGCCAUAGGAUCCAAGCCAUAAAAUUCUUUAUGCAUGAUGAAUUCAGUCAGAAAAGAGCAAGGCUUUGCUUUUUGAAAUUGCAACUCAAAUGAGAUGGGAUGAAAUCCUAUGACAGUAAGCAAAAACAGAACCAUGAAAAAUGAUUGGAAAUAUACCUUUUCAAUUGUGGCAGUAAUUGAAAGAAUCGAUAAAAGUUCAUCUUUGGACAGAAAGCCUUUUAAAAAAAAUCACUCCCUCUUCCCCCUCCUCCCUUAUUGCAGCAGCCUACUGAGAACUUUAUGACUGUUGCUGGUAACUUAGAAGCUACAAUAAUAAUUAAGGGCAGAAAUUAUACUUAAAGUGUAGAUCCUUGUUCUCUGACAAUUUGUGAUGUCUGAAAAAACAGAACCCGAAAAGCUAUGGUGACGUGUACAGGCAUUAUUUCAGACUGUAAAUGGCUUGUGAUACUCUUGAUACUUGUUUUCAAAUAUGUUUACUAACUGUAGUGUUGACUGCCUGACCAAAUUCCAGUGAAACUUAUACACCAAAAUAUUCCUUCUAGGUCCUAUUUGCUAGUAACAUGAGCACUGUGAUUGGCUGGCUAUAACCACCCCAGUUAAACCAUUUUGAUAAUUAGUAGUGCCAGCAAUAGUGGCAAACGCUGCAACUUUUCUGCAUAAAAAGCAUUAAUUGCACAGCUACCAUCCACACAAAUACAUAGUUUUUCUGACUUCACAUUUAUUAAGUGAAAUUAAUUUCCCAUGCUGUGGAAAGUUUAUUGAGAACUUGUUUCAUAAAUGGAUAUCCCUACUAUGACUGUGAAAACGUGUCAAGUGUCACAUUAGUGUCACAGAAAGCACACACCCGUGCAAUAUGGCUUAUCUAUAUUUACUUGUAAAAACCCAAGCAUAGUUUAAAAUAUGAAGUCAAUAUUACCAGUCUUCAGUUUCUAAGAGGGUUCUUUAUGAUUAUACUAAGUGUAUAAAAGAGAUUAAGUGCUUUCUUUUUCAUCACUUACUUUCUUUAAAAUCAGCUAUUACAGGAUUUUUUUUAUUUUAUACAUGCUGUUUUUUAAGUAAAAUAUAAUCACUGAAUUGAAGUUUACUAAUUUGAUUUUAUAAGGUUUGUAGCAUUACAGAAUAACUAAACUGGGACUUAUAAACCAGCUGUGAUUAACAAUGUAAAGUAUUAAUUAUUGAACUUUGAACCAGAUUUUUAGGAAAAUUAUGUUCUUUUUCCCCUUUUAUGGUCUUAACUAAUUUGAAUCCUUCAAGAAGGAUUUUUCCGUACUAUUUUUUGAGAUAGAAGAUAAUUUGAGGGGAGGGAUGGAGGAUGCAUGUAUGAUACUCCAAAAAUUCAACAUUCUUUACUAUAGGUAAUAAGUGAUUAUAAACAAGAUGCAUUUUAGAUAGCAUUAAUAUACUGAGCCUUGGAUUAUAUAUUUGAUAUAGGACCUGUUUUGAAUAUUCAGUUAAUCAUAUGGUUCCUAGUUUACAAGAAGAGCUAGAUCUAAGAUUAUUCCCAUGAGAAAUGUUGAAUUUAUGAAGAAUAGAUUUUGAGGCUUUGAAAAUGGUUAAUUUCUCAAAAACAUCAAUGUCCAAACAUCUACCUUUUUUCAUAGGAGUAGACACUAGCAAGCUGGACAAACUAUCAUAAAAGUAUUUGUCACACAUAACCUGUGGUCUGUUGCUGAUUAAUACAGUACUUUUUCUUGUGUGAUUCUUAACAUUAUAGCACAAGUAUUAUCUCAGUGGAUUAUCUGGAAUAACAUCCGAAAGAUGGGUUCGUGUAUGUUUGUGUUUGCACUUUAAACUAUUGUUUCUCCUAUCCCAAGUUGGCUUUGCAUCUAUCAGUAAAUAAAACUAUUCAGCUGCCUUAUCAGGAGUGCUGUGCUUUUCUGCUUUUCAUGUAUUUAGUUUACUGUAUUACUUGAUUUUGGAUUGAAUGAAUGUAAAUAGAAAUUAAAUGCAAAUU